rnacentral:pre_miRNA from 1 species
UUUGGCACUUAAGGAAUCGUCACCAGUUGCAUUGAUAUUGUGACAUUUCUAAGUGUCUAUUA